rnacentral:lncRNA from 1 species
GGAGGAGCUGGAGGAUACGAGUUCGAGCGUGUGAUCCAAUUAUGAUGUAACGAAUGUAUCGUCGAUGGUCGACGAGCCACCACCGACAUACAACGUGCUUCGAGUGCUUGAACGUUUCGAGGACGUUACUACUACUACUACUACUACUACUAUUACAUCAACUACUAUUACUAUUAUAUACAGUUAGAUGUAUAGUACGCGUUUCCACUACCAAUAGGGUUGCUAGUACUACUUGCUAGGAGACACACGGGACCAACAUCAAACGUCCCUUUUCGUUGACGAGUGGCCCUUCAUUAAGAGUCGAUUGCUGGCACGCUUCGAUCGAAUGUCUCCUUGGAUUUCGCCUUCUACGGGAACGGCACAAACUGGUAAUAGACGAGUCAUUCGGUAAUUCAGUCAUUUUACUUUCAACGCUUUUGAGAAAGGAAAAGAAGGAAGGAAGGAAGGAAGGAAGGAAUUUCGUUUUCCUGUAAGCCCCAAGUAUCCCAUUAGCUCGAAUAUCGGUACUGUGUUCUGCGGCCUCGGCAAAGUGUUGCUUGAGGGAUAAAGAAUAAAAGGAAGAGAGAAAUAGAUAGA